rnacentral:lncRNA from 1 species
UUCCUGAUAAUGAAAUUUAAUGUACCAGACACCAAAUACUCAACAGAAGGAAUGACUAGAAAAUACAAAGUCAUGGCAGAAAUGUAGUUGGAGAUUGCUGUCAUUUCAUACAAACAUGUUCUUAUUAAAAGAUUAACAACAUAUUUAGGUUGCUGUAGUUGAAAAAAUAAAUUCAAUUUGUCAUUUCUCCUUGAAUAACUUGUGUCCUAAUUUAGGACAAUAUAUCAACAAUUUAAAUAAAUAUUUUUGCUUUAAUAAUUAAAAUUUGAUGGUUAUUUUUUUGGCAGGGGUAUAUAAUAGCUUGCCAUUUAUACUAAAGG